rnacentral:lncRNA from 1 species
ACUUCUGGGCAUGGUCCCAGAGGCCCUCUCAAUUCAUGGCAGCCACUGUUGACUAACAGAGUUGAUACAUGGAUACAAGUUGCUUGUUACCUCCAGUAAUCAGAAUAAUUUCCUACUGAUAGCUGACUUUACUGCACCUGCUGUAAACUUUGCUUUUAGUGUUAACAUGACAAAUAUACCAGAAGGGUAACCGAAUAGCUAUGGUGUUCAGCAAGAAAAGAGAGUGUAUUGGAGUCUCUGAUAUAGAAUUUAUAUAUGUACAUUUUUUAAAAGUUCCCCAGGUUUUGCUAACAUUUCCACCUCUGGGUUGAGAAUUAUUAGAGGACGCAUUUCCAGUUUCUGGCCUGGGCAUUCACGUGCCCUCACAAUGGAGUGGGAACCCUGUGGGGAAGAGAGAUCUAGAAGUAUCUUGGCAUGGUGGGAAGUUCUAAGAGGGUCAGUUCGACUUGACAUGACCACCCAUCUUCAUCUCAGGGAACCUGAGCAGCAGUUGAGUUUCCUGAGAACAAAGAAGCAAGUCUCCCUCUGCCUACGAAAAGGGGUUUCUUGGGGGUUUGCCUUUCCAGGAACUCAUUUCAGUCCCAGGAAGAAGAUGGUCCUCUUGGGUGGAUGGGCCUGUCAGCACGGAGCUGGAGCGGCACGCCUCGUCAGGGCAGGAGGUGACUUCUCUCACAAAGACCCCAUUUGUAGUUUCCAAGAAGAAACUUCUCAUAAUGCUCAAAAGAAAGUCAUAAAAAUAUUUUUUUCGGAGGCACCUCAUGAGUCCUAACAAUAGAUGUUCAUCACUGGAAGUAAUGCUUUUGCAAUUCUAAAUCAAACUCCAAGUAGGUUCAGGAGACCUAGAAACAAAUAGGGCUGCCUCCCAUUGAGCUAACUUAUGCUUUGAGUGUUCCUACAAUUUAUUUUCCCCAAGGACCUUUGGAAAUAGAGCAAAUAUCAGUUCAUCCAUAAUACCUGUAUUUAUAUAUGAUCUGUGCCAGAGAACUCCAAGUAUCUUAGAUGUGGCCCUUGUGCCCGUGUUUGGCCAGGUCAUCUUGGAGGACCUUUCAUCCCUGUCUGAUGCUCAGUGGUGCCUGUUAUGGUCAGUGCUGUGGGGGAGGGUGAGUAGCGAACUUCAUGACUCCUGGUCCUUACAGGAGACCAAAUGCCCUGGGAGUCUGCCUGCUCUGUGUGGUUAUAGAAUUCAUGCCAGUCUGCUGUGUAUAAUUCACAUACUUAUUACUUAUUGGUUCAAUUAUUCAAUGAAAGUUAUUGUUUGCCUAGUAUGAGCUGAUCCCUAAGCUUUGUGAUCGGAAACAAAGAUGAGUAAAAUAUUGUCCCACCCAAAGCCUUGUGGGGAAAACAGGCCCAUAAUGGAUCCCCCCAUUGCUAUUUAUUUGUUUAUUUAUUUAUAUUUAUUAAUUGUUUCUUCCAGUCUUAUUGAGAUAUAAUGGACAUACAACACUGUAUAAGUUGAAGGUGUACAGCAUAAUGAUGUGACUUACAUACUUCAUGAAGUGAUUGUCACAAUAAGUUUCGUAAACAUCCAUCAUCUCAUAUGGGUACAAAAUGAAAGAAAUAGGAAGGAGAUGUUUCUUCUUGUGAUGAGAACUUUCUAGUCCCGGUGAAGGAGAAGAGAGGGGUGAUGGUGGGAAGCUUCCUUGAGAGGGUGACAGACAGCCUGUAUCUUAAUGGAUGCCCAAGAGCAUGUCAUUUACUUUUCUUCCUUUUACGUCCCUCUCUAGGUGGUCCCUGACAUGUUUCAAAGUUAGACAAACAGAAGGAGCCCCUGGAGAUGUAAUUCAAGGCAGAACAAGUGACAAAGACUGUUUUCAUAGGAAAUGUGUCAAGAGGUGGUCAGGGAUGGCCAGAUAAAGAGCUGUUGGCUUGUUCCACUCUCAAGCUAGGACAUUUUGCCUCUUUUCUCUCUCUCUUCUGCCCAAUGAUUAUGUCUCCUCUGAAAGCUGUAUGCUUAGCUUGCCAUUUGGUGAGAAGCACUUCCUAACUUCUCAGCUAUUCAUGUUUAUCUAGAGCCCUCACUGGUUUGUUCCUGUACCCGUCUUGUGCUUUCCACCCUUCUCCUUAAUUUAACUACUUGCUUUCCCAGCACAGAUCUCAUGACCCAACAUUAAAAGACCUCCUUUGUAAAGACCUUAACUCUCUGGCACUUGUCUGGCAACACUUUCUCACUCCAUGACACUUGUCUGGCAACAAUCUCAACCAUGCCUAAUACCAUCUAUCUAUCUUCUUCGUACCUCUCUCCAUAGAGGUGUGGCAGGUUUGAGCCCUGGCCACACCUUAGAUUCAUGAGGACACGUCCCAAGUAGGUACUCAGCAUGGCCCUGUCAUCUGCCAUACUCCUCUAGGAGUGCAUACAUGCUCACACUCUCCAAAUGAUUAUUUCAGUCAUUCAUUCUAGAUCCAUUUGCUGAGCAUUUACUUUAUGUGUAGCACAGUUCAAGGUCUUGGGGUCAGGGUAGUAAACACAACGAAAAGAUACCUUUUUUUCUGGAGUUUUCAUUUAAAGUAACAAACAGAUGAUACACAAGUAAAUAGCAAAUAAUAUUUACUAAGAGCUAUUCAGGGAAUUUGGGAUGAAUUGAUAGAAGGCUUGGCUGACUGUUAUAGGGACCAGUUUGAGGAGACAGGGGGACAAAUAUAUUAAUACUAAGGAGGAGCCAGCCGGUGAAGAUCAGAGGGAGGAGGAUUCUAAGCAGAGGCACCAGAUGGAGCAAAGGCCCGGAGGUGGGCAUAGGCUUGUCUUGUUCAGGGAGCAGAAAGGCUGCUAUGGCCUUACCAUAAUGGACACAGAAGGGCAUAGUAUGAAAUUAGAGUGGCUACACAUGGGUGCAGAAUUGCAAAUGUAGGGCGAGUCAGGAAGUUCCACUGGAUGGCUGUGAUUUCCAUGCUGAAGGAGAGCUUGGUCUUUCUUAGAAUGUGUGGGAGGGACUGUAUAGGUGGUAAAGGGUGCCAGGGGUGGGUUUUGGAACAAUCACUGAGGUGAAUGGGGGUUGGGGGAGCUGACUACCAACAAGGGUAAGGAUUAGAGUGGGGAAUCUGGCCUCUGCAGCUGGGAUUAGAGCUCUAAUCAUUCUAGCUGUGCUGUAGGUAGGACCAGAAGAGGUAGAUUCUCAUAUUUAUUUGUGGAUGGUGUUUUUCUGAAUGGAUUUGGAAGAAAGGAUAAAAAUGCUAAAGAGAGGGAGUUCCCAUGGUGGCUCAGUGGAAAUGAAUCCAGCUAGUAUCCAUGAAGACGGUGGGUUUGAUCCCUGGCCUCGCUCAUUGGAUUAAGGAUCCAGCGUUGCCUUGAGCUAUGGUGUAGGUUGCAGAAGCAAACUGGAUCCCACGUUGCUGUGGCUGUGGUGUAGGCUGGCAGCUGCAGCUCCUAUUUAACUCCUAGCCUGGGAACCUCCAUAUGUCACAGGUGUGACCCUAAAAAAAAGCAAAAAAAAAAAAAAUGCUAAAGAGAAGAUAUUGCAGAGGAGACCCUAAGAGGGGAAUGAGAUGGGGAGAUCAGGAAUCUUCUUGGAGGUUCACAGCAGGUAUAGAAUUUUUAAUAGAGUUUCCAUUUGUUAUUUAUUUUUUAACCCAGCAACAGCGGCCCGAGUGCUAGAGGUUAGCUUGACACCUGGCAGUCAGGAGAUAUUAAGGAGGUCUGUUUGAGCAGGUUUACUGUCUUCAGACAAAAGUAUUUGUUGAGAAAGGCCAGGAGCAGGGAUCUUGGAGAAGAGUAAGGAAAAGGUGAAAGGAAAUAGGCCAGAAGAAAGGAAGCUUUCACAAAGGCAAGCUGCUGACAGUGUCUGUGAUCAAUCAUGCUGAUAAAGGGCCUGUGACACAGCGCUGCCCUCACAGAGCAUCGCCAUUCUACCAGCUGACGCCCCAACAGGACUCACCAGUGGUGAUUUAUAGGGAGCUCUCCUGCUCUUUUUGGCAGUUGACUCCACUGCUCAUGGGGUUCUGCAUGGGCACGCUUUCUCUAAGAUUCUCUCUGAGUACAAGCAAUGGUCACAUCUCAAAACAAAGCAACCUUUGAAAAGUAAACACUUUUUCAUCUUUCAUUAAAAAGUAAAAGAAUUUCCCAGUAAUUUGGCCUUGCCUGAGGUUUGAGAGGUGUGCAGACAUUCAAGAACCAGCCUCAUUUGACUAAAUUCUCAAGGAAAUCAUGUGAAUGUCUUUCAUUGAGAUCUUUCUUAGAUUCUUUUGAAACAACUCAAAGUUUUCAUUGCUUUUAUUUUUUGUUUUACUUUAUUGGAUUAAAAACUUAUUAUCAAUGUAAUACACAGUCCCUUUAUUUUCAGAGUCUUAUUACUAACUAGGCAUUUGAUAAUUGCUUGUUGAUUGAUUAGUUGCCUGGCUUUAUUCCACCCAGGGCAGCCAGGACUGUGCUCUUUAGUUAGGCUAGUUCAACAGGAUUUUAAUUAGUGAAACGCCAAAAAGGUUCAGUGGUCAAAAAGGUUGGAAACAUUCAGGAUAAAACAAUGUUAAGCAGAUUUUUUUCUUAUAUUGUUGACUUUCCAAGAGGUUUUUCUAUGCUAACAAGCACUGAAAAUUUCUGAGCAGGGGAUAAAGUGUACAGUAUGUCUGCCUUUGCACAGGCUCUUCUUUUGUUAGAGAAACUUUUGGAACUGAUAUUCCUUAGAAGACACUUUGGAAGGUACAGCAUUAAAAUUUCUGAUGGAGAAUAGUGAGGCAGAAAAGGCAUGAAACUCAGAAUAAUGGACUUGAUACACAAAAAGCCACAAUGCCAAAUUCUCCUUUAGUUCUACUUGGGUAAUUGUGCUAUCAUUUCUAUGCUCCACUUGCCUGCUGUCCUAGCUAUCAGAUUAAUUUUCCUAAAAUAUAAUUUUGUCAUAUUGCUCUUCGAAUGACUUUGUAUUAGUUAAAGGUGAGGCAGAUGGUAGUUUCCAAAGAUUAAUCUAGCUACAUACAUACCUACUUACCCAUCAUCUAUUUGUCUAUCUGUCUAUCUAUCUAUCCAUCUAUCAUUUAUUCUCUUCAUACAGUGUGA